UGAGUACCAGAUUGCAACCCAAACUUUUUGAAUACAGAUUCCAUAGAAUCCCGAUCAAUAUUUAUAUCCUUGUAUGUACUUGGAUCAUCUUCACGAUAGUUAUUAACCCAUUCUAAAAACUUCUUGGCCCUUCUUUUUUCAAAUAAGCUCAUAAGGGGACUCUUCAAUGCUUCCAUUUCGUUUCCAGGUACUUUCGCAAUUCGUCCAUCACGAUAAACGUAGCUACCGGCAAUCUGUUUAAAUUCAAUGUAACGAGUGACAUCGGUAUAAAUCAAAAUGUUGGUUAAAUCGCCAUUCGCCAUUAAAAACUUUGGAACGAGAUCUACACACCAGUCCCUAUCUCGACCUAAGCUCUCUGGUCGUUGUUCUCCAGGACGAAACAGAGCAUAUAACUGAGUUAAAUUCAAACUAGCAGAAUCACUAAGAGGAGUUAGUAACUGACUGAGAAUGUCCAUAUCCAGGUAUUAACAACGGUUAUGUGAAAUAUUAACCACAUCUAACUUACGCUCCAUAAUAAUCGUUUCUAUCAAUAUGCAAUACUUUCUUUCCAUCCACACUCAACAAACCGCUGAGAACACAUUCUGUAAGCCCUGUACCGAGGACUAUAACAUCAUAUUCCUCAUCCAUAGUAAAAUCAAUGUAUUGUGUUUAGGUUGAAUCAAAAUACCAGUUCUAAACGAGUAUCCAAGUUACACAAUCGUGUGAGUUCGAAUUCCGUCUUGGCCAAAACAUUCAUGACGUAAUGAGGUAAAUAAACUGUGAAAGUGACAAUGUUACUUGAAUUAUGCUAGCAAAAC